rnacentral:lncRNA from 1 species
CAGUAAUCCAAGUUAUCAGAGAUUUGGACCCAAAGUAAAGUCAUGGCAAUGAUAUACAGAUGUGGGAGAUAAACACCACAGGACUUAAUGGCUAAGGAAAUGUGGAGCAGGAAGGAAAGGAUGAAAGAGGGGGAAAUGAAUAUGUCCUGUCUAACUUACAGGUUUUUUGUUUGAGUGACUGGGAGGAUGGCAUUGCCAUUAACUGUGAAAUGGGAAGAACUUAACUUACCAGCAUAUAGAUGCCAUGGCAGUGGAUGGAGCCUUCCAAGGAGUGUUUUGGGUGAGAAGAGGACUAAAUGGAGCCACUUGAGGGAACUAGCUUUAAGAGACAUAAAGGGGGCUGUGAAGAAAACUGAAAAAUAGAGUUGUUUGGAAAACCAGAAAUAAACUAUGGAAAACAUGAAGAGUGCAGAAAAGUAGGAAUGAGGAAAAUGUGAUGUGGAAAGAAGAAUCAUCAGAAUAGCUUAACUGAACCAAAGACCAGCCUAAGAACAAGUUCAUUUUGAACCUUUCAGCAAUCAAACAAUUGGUACAUCAUGCCUUUCCUAGGGUUGAAAAAAAUGGUGAAAGCACAUUCAGAGCAUGCCUUCAAACUGUUUUCAUGCUGAUGGAACAAGAGAAGUCUAUUGGUCCCGGUGACCUAAGGUCUAGAUGCUAAACUCUCAGUAGCAAUACAGUGUGCAUUUUCCAGAUCUAUUUUCUGUACUUAUAUCUCAAGAACAAAGCAAGGCAGUAGCUGAACCAGCCAGGAAUUCCAGGUCUUUACCAUCAUCUCUUCUUCUGAAAUACCCAUUAUGCAUAACAACAUCUUCCAUAUGUACCUGAGCAAUGAAUAGUGAUGAAAUAAAUUAAAUUUGCACAAUUAUUCAUCCAGUCAUCCAUUGAUUGAUUUUGCUAGCUAUAUACUGAAAUAACAGCACAGUGUUUGACAUUGUUCAAGAAAUGAAGCAAGUGUGUAAAUACACUGCCUGCUCUCAAAGGAGAUUAUAACAACACAAAAUGAAAUGACCAGAAUACACUCACUUCCCUUUUGCUUCUAACUUCGUCU